rnacentral:rRNA from 1 species
CACGUAGGUUGUUACAUAAGUGGAUUUUGAAAUUUCCGGGCUUAACCUGGAGGGGUGAGUUUAAACUGUGUAACUAGAGUCCAUGAGAGGGUAGAGGAAUUUCCGGUGUAGCGGUGAAAUGCGUAGAUAUCGGAAGGAAGGCCGGUGGCGAAGGCGUCUACCUGGCAUGGUACAGACACUGAGGUGCGAAAGCGUGGGUAGCGAACA